rnacentral:ncRNA from 1 species
ACAGGUCUGCCACCGGGUAGAUUAAGAAUGCAAAGGCAUUUGCUGCACAUCGUUAGGUCUUUGAAGAUGUGCGGACAAAUGCCUUUAUUUU